rnacentral:rRNA from 1 species
AGCUAUAAUUUACUUGAUCUUGACACAAUCCUACUUGGAUAACUGUGGUAAUUCUAGAGCUAAUACAUGCAUUAAAGCUCUGACCUCACGGGAAGAGUGCAUUUAUUAGAACAAAACCAAGCGGCUUCGGCUGUUUCUGGUUGACUCAUAGUAACUGAGCUGAUCGCAUGGUCUUGCACCGGCGACGUGUCUUUCAAGUAUCUGCCGUAUCAACUUUCGAUGGUAGUGUAUCUGACUACCAUGGUGAUCACGCGUAACGGAGAAUAAGGGUUCGGCUCCGGAGAGUUCGCCUGAGAAAUCGCGAACACAUCUAAGGAAGGCAGCAGGCGCGAAAAUUACCCACUCUCAGCACGAGGAGGUAGUGACGAAAAAUAACGAGACCGUUCUCUUAUGAGGCCGGUCAUCGGAAUGGGUACAAUUUAAACCCUUUAACGAGUAUCUAUGAGAGGGCAAGUCUGGUGCCAGCAGCCGCGGUAAUUCCAGCUCUCAAAGUGCAUAGAAUUAUUGCUGCGGUUAAAAAGCUCGUAGUUGGAUCUGUGCCAUAGGACGUGGUCCACCUUCGGGUGCGUACUACGCUCCUAGGCUUUUUGCUGGUUUUCCCGUCGUAGCCUUCACUGGUUGCGGCGGGUGGCUGGCGAGUUUACUUUGAGAAAAUCAGAGUGCUCAAUACAGGCGUAUCGCUUGAAUGAUUGUGCAUGGAAUAAUAGAAAAGGAUUUCGGUCCUCUUUUAUUGGUUUUGUGGACUGAGAUAAUGGUUAACAGGGACAAACGGGGGCAUUCGUAUCUCUGCGUGAGAGGUGAAAUUCUUGGACCGUAGAUGAGACGCCUUAC